rnacentral:rRNA from 1 species
UAAAGGGUGCGUAGGUGGUCAUUUAAGUCUGAUUUGAAAGCAAGCGGCUUAACCGUUUGAUGUGGUUGGAAACUGAAUGACUUGAAUGGGUUGGCGGUAGCCGGAAUGGGUCAUGUAGCGGUGAAAUGCAUAGAUAUGACCCGGAACACCGAUUGCGAAGGCAGGCUACUACGACUUGAUUGACACUGAGGCACGAGAGCAUGGGUAGCGAACAGGAUUAGACCACCGGU